AUUGAACGCUGGCGGCAUGCUUUACACAUGCAAGUCGAACGGUAACAGGCCGCAAGGUGCUGACGAGUGGCGAACGGGUGAGUAAUGCAUCGGAACGUGCCCAGUCGUGGGGGAUAACUACUCGAAAGAGUAGCUAAUACCGCAUACGAUCUAUGGAUGAAAGCGGGGGACCGUAAGGCCUCGCGCGAUUGGAGCGGCCGAUGUCAGAUUAGGUAGUUGGUGGGGUAAAGGCUCACCAAGCCAACGAUCUGUAGCUGGUCUGAGAGGACGACGAGCCACACUGGGACUGAGACACGGCCCAGACUCCUACGGGAGGCAGCAGUGGGGAAUUUUGGACAAUGGGCGCAAGCCUGAUCCAGCAAUGCCGCGUGCAGGAAGAAGGCCUUCGGGUUGUAAACUGCUUUUGUACGGAACGAAACGGCUCUGGUUAAUACCCGGGGCUAAUGACGGUACCGUAAGAAUAAGCACCGGCUAACUACGUG
rnacentral:rRNA from 1 species